rnacentral:lncRNA from 1 species
GGUGCCUGCUGCUUUCAUGAAGGAUGAAGGGAUGGACUGUGGACGGUUUUCUAGGAUGUCUACAAGGAUAGAGAUAUCUGGAAGCUAUUUUGGUUUCUGAUGAGUGUCAGAGGCCUUGACACUUUCCCUCUUAACCAUUUGAGGACAUCUUUGUAGCCAGAGCUGUCUUUAUAUGAUGGCAAAUGGUGUGGGAAGGAAAACCUUCAGACUUGGAUAAUGUCAGCUUUGCUUUGGAAGAGUAGUCUUUAGAAACAGUUCUGUAUUCUCUGUUGUCUCAUUUACUUCUUACUGGAUUGAUUAUUUUUAGAAACAUUCCAUAAUUCUAUAUUUUCUGGCUUCCCAAAAUGAGUGUAUUUUCUUAUGUCUAAAGUAGUUAACAUGUGUUGCUAUCUAAUUUACCUCUUUCUCUGUAUUUCAGAGUAACUCUCAUUUAUUUCACAAAGAGCUGAAAUAAUUGCUGAGAGGACAACACACCUUCUUGUCUCGGCUUGUGUCUCUGAGAUGAGAUGGAUACCUGAUUAUAAUCCUGUUAGCCACUAGGCAGGUACUUUUAGGGACCAUUACCUGGGCUCGAAGAGGAAGGGCAGGAUGCUGCCCUUUAAAUGACAGUUAAUGUACUUUCAAACUUUCUUCAUUAUGGCUAACGCCCCGAUCCAUUCAUUUUAGGUGUCCUAAACGUUGCUCUUCACAAUCCUGAAUUUUCCACCUGGAAGCUUUCGCAUCUGCUACUUUUUAAACAUUGAUACAGAGCCUCUAACUGAAUAUGCUCAGCAAUGUGCCCACAUGGUGUGGAAUGAGUGGGUACCUGUCGGCAGCAAGAGGUCAACAACCCUCAGCAGCAGAGCCCCUUCCUGAGGCCAUCCUGCCCAGCUUGUACCCAGUGGUCAUCAGUCAACACAGCAGCGCUGAACAAAGCUACACAAGGUAGAAGCAGACCUUUGCUGUAAGACCCACUCACUCGCCCCACGAGCUCUGAACUACCUUCUCUAAGUUAAGAGCAACUUACCUGAAGCUAAAGGCCUUGUGUGAGGCUGAAGGAUAUGAUCUUGUCAAGUUGGAGCUUUAAAUACAGAAUUCU